CGGACGGGUGAGUAACGCGUGAGUAACCUGCCCUUCAGAGGGGGAUAACGUCUGGAAACGGACGCUAAUACCGCAUGACAUAUUUCCAUCGCAUGGUGGAGAUAUCAAAGUAGCAAUCCGCUGAAGGAUGGACUCGCGUCCGAUUAGAUAGUUGGCGGGGUAACGGCCCACCAAGUCGACGAUCGGUAGCCGGACUGAGAGGUUGAACGGCCACAUCGGGACUGAGACACGGCCCAG
rnacentral:rRNA from 1 species